rnacentral:rRNA from 1 species
UACGUAGGUGGCAAGCGUUAUCCGGAUUUACUGGGUGUAAAGGGCGUGUAGGCGGGAGAGCGAGUCAGACGUGAAAUUCCAGGGCUCAACCCUGGAACUGCGUUUGAAACUGUUCUUCUUGAGUGAUGGAGAGGCAGGCGGAGUUCCGUGUGUAGCGGUGAAAUGCGUAGAUAUACGGAGGAACACCAGUGGCGAAGGCGGCCUGCUGGACAUUAACUGACGCUGAGGCGCGAAAGCGUGGGGAGCAAACAGG